AAGAAGAGGGAAUCUCCGGAAAAGCGAUCUCCAGGAGCUACGGGGAGAGAGGCUUCGCAUUGCAGGGGUUAGAGGUCCUAAAAUCAAUCGCAGACCGCACCCCUCGCUGCCACCGCCGGCCGGAGGAGACUCCGUUCGCUGAAGACGACGCGGGCUCUAACCGAUUUUCCCCUUUCCCCUCCGAUUCUUCGUCCUGUUUUCUUCUUUUUUUUCAAGCCAGAGAGAGAAACUUUGUGCGAAGUCUCGAGAGAGAGAGAGCGUCCGUGCCCCCAGCGAAUCCCCCCGAAGAGAGAGAGAGAUUCCGUGAGGAGAGAGAGUGAGUGCCUGAGGAGAGAGUGAGUGCGUCAGGAGAGACCGUCCGUAUGAGGAGAGAGACCCCUUUUUGCAGUCCGCGAUUCCCC
rnacentral:lncRNA from 1 species